rnacentral:rRNA from 1 species
UACGUAGGGGGCGAGCGUUGUCCGGAUUUAUUGGGCGUAAAGAGCUCGUAGGCGGUCUGUCACGUCGGUCGUGAAAACUUGGGGCUUAACCCUGAGCUUGCGGUCGAUACGGGCAUGACUUGAGUUCGGCAGGGGAGACUGGAAUUCCUGGUGUAGCGGUGAAAUGCGCAGAUAUCAGGAGGAACACCGGUGGCGAAGGCGGGUCUCUGGGCCGAUACUGACGCUGAGGAGCGAAAGCGUGGGGAGCGAACAGG